UACGUAGGGGGCAAGCGUUGUCCGGAAUUAUUGGGCGUAAAGAGCGCGUAGGCGGUCCGAUAAGUCGGCUGUGAAAGUCAGGGGCUCAACCCUUGAAAGCCGGCCGAUACUGUCGGACUAGAGUCCGGAAGAGGCAAGUGGAAUUCCCGGUGUAGCGGUGAAAUGCGCAGAUAUCGGGAGGAACACCAAUAGCGAAGGCAGCUUGCUGGGACGGUACUGACGCUGAGGCGCGAAAGCGUGGGGAGCAAACAGG
rnacentral:rRNA from 1 species